UGCAUUUGGAGGGGACGCCGUUCAUUUGCACUUUUAAGUUCAGAUUAUAUUAAGAAAUGGAGAAAGUAAAAUUUUGACUGAUUAUGGUUUGUUUGCACUGGAACGAGGCUAGGAUGCACUGUUAUAGAGGUCGGUUGCACCAUUUCUCAUUUCGUAGACUUCACAUUGCACUAUUAUCCCUGUUGCGGAGCGCGCACUAUUUGUCAAUAGCGUUCGAAAAUUUCGUAAAGUCUUAAGCAGAACAGGAAACAGCGGGGCCGGCGAAUAGCGGGGGCGGAUGUUGUCCGGGUUCCGUGAAAUAAGCGGUCAUUUAAUGCGCGCCAGACCGUACGGCAGGGUAGUAUACGUAUGUCAAGAAAUACGCGGGAGGCUAUUGUAUAGGAGGGGCAUUUUGGUCAGGCGGCGGAAAAAGCGGACCGAAUCUGCAAAAAGGAAAAAGGUGGCCCGGUUUUGCAAAACCCCAAAAUAAGUGGAUUUUUUAUACAAAUUGGCCUUCAUUUAUUGUAAACUUUUACGGAAGUAGAUUUUUGUGGCCUCCUCAAACAGUCAAAUUUAUUUCAGCAUUCAAGGCAUGUGACUCUAAGACAUUUCAUAUUUAACUCAAAGAAGUCUGAGAUUCAAGACUCUGGGUCGUUUGGCCUAGAUUUUGAAAAAAAAUUUAUGUAGAAUUAAUUUUGUUUUAAAAAAAAAAUUUUGGCUAAAAACUGUAAAACGCUUGGUUGAGUUUAGAUAAAAGUGAUUUUUCUGAAAUAAUUUUUAAAAAUAUUUGGUAUUUUUUUUUUGCAUAAAUUAAUAUUUUUAUUAAAUUUAUUUUAAAAUAAUUUAAAAUUAAAAUUAAAAUUUGAAUUAAAAUUAAAAUUUUAAAUUUUAAAACUGUACAAAAUUUAAAAUUUGAUAUUUUUAUUUAAAAAUAAAUUUAAUACUUGAAUUUUUAAAUCUAAAUCUAAAUUUAAAUUUUAAAUUUCAAAGUUUAAAUUUAAAAUUUGAAAUUUGAAAUAUUUAAAUUUUAAAUUUUAAAUUUAAAGUUUUAAUUUUUAAAUUUUAAUUUUAAAUAUAAAUUUUAACAUUUUAAAAUUUAAAAUAUNUUUUAAAUUUUAAAUUUUAUAAUUUUAAAAUUUAAAAUUUGAGAUUCAAAUUUAAAAUUUAAAAUUUAAACUUUAAUAUCCAAAUUUUUAAUUUUUGAUUUGAAAAGCUGAAAUUUAAAAAUUCAAAUAUGAAUUUAAAAUUUAAAAAUUAUAAUUAAUUUUAAAUUUUAAUUUUGAAUCUAAAAUUAAAAUAAAAAUUUGAAGUUUGAGUAUAAAUCAGAAUCGGAUUUUAAAAAACAAUUUUUUUUCUGUUUCUUAUUAUGGAGUUUUCAGAAUUAAUUUUCUGAUUUUAAAAAAUAUAAUCAGAUUUUUCAGAACUUUCCCAAAUACUGAGCCCUCAGAAUUACUUUUCAGAAGCAGGACCAAACACCCCUUCUUUGUAUUUUCCUUUUU
rnacentral:lncRNA from 1 species